UACGAAGGGGGCUAGCGUUGUUCGGAAUCACUGGGCGUAAAGGGCGCGUAGGCGGCUUUAUAAGUCGGGGGUGAAAGCCUGUGGCUCAACCACAGAAUUGCCUUCGAUACUGUAGAGCUUGAGACCGGAAGAGGUAAGUGGAACUGCGAGUGUAGAGGUGAAAUUCGUAGAUAUUCGCAAGAACACCAGUGGCGAAGGCGCUUACUGGUCCGGUUCUGACGCUGAGGCGCGAAAAGCGUGGGGAGCAAACAGG
rnacentral:rRNA from 1 species